rnacentral:rRNA from 1 species
GACGAACGCUGGCGGCGUGCCUAAUACAUGCAAGUCGAACGCAGUGGGGACGGUUGAUUCACACGUGGGUAAUCUCCCAUCAGAGGCGAUAACACUUGGAAACAGGUGCUAAACCGAUACUGAUGUAUGUACCUGCGGUGCAUUAGCUAGUGGGUGAGGUAACGGCGCACCAAGGCUACGAUGCAUAGCCGACCUGAGAGGGUGAUCGGCCACACUGGGACUGAGACACGGCCCAGACUCCUACGGGAGGCAGCAGUAGGGAAUCUUCGGCAAUGGACGAAAGUCUGACCGAGCAACGCCGCGUGAGUGAAGAAGGUUUUCGGAUCGUAAAACUCUGUUGUUAGAGAAGCGGUAUCUAACCAGAAAGCCACGGCUAACUACGUGCCAGCAGCCGCGGUAAUUC